rnacentral:rRNA from 1 species
AACGUAGGAGACAAACGUUAUCCGGAUUUACUGGGCGUAAAGGGCGCGUAGGCGGCACUGUUAGUCAGGCGUGAAAGUCCUGGGCUCAACCUGGGAACUGCGCUUGAUACGGCAGAGCUAGAGGAUGGAAGAGGCUCGCGGAAUUCCCAGUGUAGAGGUGAAAUUCGUAGAUAUUGGGAAGAACACCGGUGGCGAAGGCGGCGAGCUGGUCCAUUACUGACGCUGAGGCGCGACAGCGUGGGGAGCAAACAGG